rnacentral:rRNA from 1 species
GUGCACCAGGCGAGAAAACUUUACAAUGCGGGAAACCGUGAUAAGGGAACCCCGAGUGCCUGUAUAUGCAGGCUGUCCAGGUGUCUAAAAAACACCUGAAGAAAGGGCCGGGCAAGACCGGUGCCAGCCGCCGCGGUAAUACCGGCGGCUCGAGUGGUGGCCACUUUUAUUGGGCUUAAAGCGUUCGUAGCUGGGUUGUUAAGUCUCUUGGGAAAUCUGACGGCUCAACCGUCAGGCGUCCAAGGGAUACUGGCAAUCUUGGAACCGGGAGAGGUGAGGGGUACUUCGGGGGUAGGAGUGAAAUCCUGUAAUCCUCGAGGGACCACCUGUGGCGAAGGCGCCUCACCAGAACGGCUUCGACAGUGAGGGACGAAAGCUGGGGGAGCAAACCGGAUUAGAUACCCUCGUAGUCC